AUCAUACUUCCUCCGUUUAAAAAUACUAUUCACAGGAAUGGAUGCAUCUAGAUGUAUUUAGUUCUAGAUACAUUCAUUUUUAUAAAUUUGUGCGACAAGUAAUUCCGGACGGAGGGAGUAUGUG
rnacentral:pre_miRNA from 1 species